rnacentral:rRNA from 1 species
GCUUAACGCGAAGAACCUUACCAAGGCUUGACAUAUACGAGAACGGGCCAGAAAUGGUCGACUCUUUGGACACUCGUAAACAGGUGGUGCAUGGUUGUCGUCAGCUCGUGUCGUGAGAUGUUGGGUUAAGUCCCGCAACGAGCGCAACCCUCGUUCUAUGUUGCCAGCACGUCAUGGUGGGAACUCAUAGGAGACUGCCGGGGUCAACUCGGAGGAAGGUGGGGAUGACGUCAAAUCAUCAUGCCCCUUAUGUCUUGGGCUUCACGCAUGCUACAAUGGCCGAUACAAAGGGCUGCAAUACCGUAAGGUGGAGCGAAUCCCAAAAAGUCGGUCUCAGUUCGGAUUGAGGUCUGCAACUCGACCUCAUGAAGUCGGAGUCGCUAGUAAUCGCAGAUCAGCAACGCUGCGGUGAAUACGUUCCCGGGUCUUGUACACACCG